rfam:Triticum urartu cultivar G1812 contig807932, whole genome shotgun sequence.
CAAAUACUCCCUCCGUUCCGAAUUGCUCGUCGCGGAAAUGGAUGUAUCUAGAUGUAUUUUAGUUCUAGAUACAUCCAUUUCUGCGACGUGUAAUUUGGAACGGAGGGAGUAGUAC